rnacentral:lncRNA from 1 species
GCUACCUCAAAGUGGGCUUAAUAUGUGGUGCAACUUGCGCUUCCCUGUAGAAUCAAACCAAAACUAGUCUUCAGCCGUGACCACACUCUUGUUUAAGUUUCCUAUUCCUGUCCUGUCCUGCUGCCUUCACUCCUCUUAUCCUGGGAGCACUUUCCCAAUCAAGCAUAAGAAUCUUCAUCUCAGUCCUCACUGCUUAGGAAACCAAUUUAAGACAACUGGCAUUGGAGAUGGAUUCUAGGGUUAAUUCACUUGCUGGCUGGAUGGCAAUGAGGACCCCACUGGUGGAGGCACUCAAUCUCUCACCUGCCACCCUGUGAAGAGGUGCCUUCUGCCAUGAUUGUAAGUUUCCUGAGGCCUCUCCAGACAUAUGGAACUGUGAGUCAAUUUAAUCUCUUUCCCUUAUAAAUUACCAAGUCUUGGUUAUGUCUUUAUUAGCAGCUUGAGAACAGACUAAUAUAGUAAAUUGGUACUGGGUAGUGGGGUGCUGCUGUAAAGAUACUAAAAAAUGUGAAAGUGACUUGGAACUGGGUGAAAGGUAGAGGUUGGAAUAAUUUGGAUAGUUCAGAAGAAGUCAGGAAAAUAUGGGACAGUUUGAAACUUCCUAGAGACUUGGAGGGCUCAGAAGACAGGAAGAUGUAGGGAAGUUUGAAACUUCCUAGAGACUUGUUGAAUGGCUUUGACCAAAAUGCUGAUAGUGAUAUGGACAAUGAAGUCCAGGCUGAGAUGGUUUCAGAUGGAGGUGAGGAACUUGUUGGGAAGUGGAGCAAAGGUGACUCUUGUUAUGCUUUAGCCAAGAGAUGUGGUGGCAUUUUGUCUCUGUCCUAGAGAUCUGUGGAACUUUGAAGUUCAGAGAGAUGAUUUAGGGUAUCUGGUGAAAGAAAUUUAUAAGUAGCAAAGCAUUCGAAAGGAAGCAGAGCAUAAAAGUUUGGAAACUUUGCAGCCUGAUGAUGCAGUAAAAAAGAAAAACCCAUUUUCUGGGGAGGAAUUCAAGCCUGCUGCAGAAAUUUGCAUAAGUAACAAGGAGCUGAAUGUUAAUCACCAAGAUGGUGGUGAAAAUGUCUCCAGGGCACAUCAGAGACCUUCAUGGCAGCCACUCCCAUCAUAGAUCCAGAGGCCUAGGAGGGAAAAAAAUGAUUCCUGGGCUGGGCCAAAUGGUUUCCUUCCUGCUCUAUGCAGUUGAGGGACAUGUUGCCCUGCAUCCCAGCUGUUUCAGCUCCAGCUGUGGCUAAAAAGGAGCCAAGGUUCAGCUUGAGUCGUUGCUUCAGGGGAUGCAAGCCCCAAGCCUUGGCAGCAUCCACGUGGUGUUGGUCCCGCAGGUGCACAGAAGAUGAGAAAUGAGGUUUGGGACCCUCCACCUAAAUUUCAGAGGAUGUAUGGAAAUGCCUGGAUGUCCAGGCAGAGGUGUGCUGCAGGGAUGGAACCCUCAUGGAGAACCUCUGUUAGGGCAGUGCAGAAGGGAAUGUGGAGUUGGAGCUCCCACACAGAGUCCUCACUGGAGCACUGCCUAGUAGAGCUGUGAGAAGAGGGCUUUGUCCUCUAGAUCCCAAAAUGGUAGAUCCACCAACAGCUUGCAUUGUGUGCCUAGAAAAGCUUCAGACACUCAACACCAGCCCAAGAAAGCAGCCAGGAGGGGAACUAGACCCUGCAAAAGCCAGAGAAGCAGAGCUGCCAAAGGCUAUGGGAGCCCAACUGUUGUAUCAGUGUGACCUGGAUGUGAGUCAUGAAGUCAGAGGAGAUCAUUUUGGAACUAAAGUUCCAAAGGUUUAAUAACUGACCUAUUGGAUUUCAGACUUGCUUGGAGCCUGUAGCCCCUUUGUUUUGGCCAAUUUCUCCCAUUUGAAAUGGGUGUAUUUACCCAGUGCCUGUACCCCAUUGUAUCUAGGAAAUAACUAAUUUGCUUUUGACUUUACAGGCUCAUAGGCAGAAGGGACUUGCCUUGUCUCAGAUUAGACUUUGGACUUGGACUUUUGAGUUAAUGCUGGAAUGAGUUAAGACUUUGGAGGACUGUUGGAAGAGUGUGAUUGUGUUUUGAAUUGGGAGGACAUGAGAUUUUGGAAGGGCCAAAGGUAGAAUGAUGUGGUUUGGCUGUGUUCCCACUCAAAUCUCAUCUUGAAUUAUAGUUCCCAUAAUCCCCAUGUGUCAUGGAAGGGACCAGGCGAGAUAAUCAUGAUGGUGGUUUCCACCAUCGUGUUCUCGUGAUAGUGAGUUCUCAUGAAAUCUGAUGAUUUUAUAAAGGGCUUCCCUCUUCGCUGGGCACUCAUUUUCUCUCCUGCCAUCCUGUGAAGAGGUGCCUUUGCCAUGACUGUGAGUUUCCUGAGGCCUCUCCAGCCAUAUGGAACUGAGUCAAACCUCUUUCUUUUAUAAAUUACUCAGUCUUGGGUAUGUCUUUAUUAGCAAUGGACUAAUAUGAUUAGUUAUGCAUAUUCUUGACUUUUAUAUAAAUGGAAUUCAUACAAGAUGCAUUCAUUUUUUUCCUGGCUCUUUUCAUACACGUUUGUGAGAUUCAUCCAUGUUGCAUGUAACAGUCAGUUUUGUUUACUCCUGUGUACUGUUUUAUUAUAUGACUAUAUCAAAUCUGUUAUUGAUGAAUAUUUGGUUGUUUCCAGGUUUUGCUAUUAUGCAUAAAGCUGCUUUGAAAAUUCUUGUAGAAAUAUUUUGGUGGAAAUCCUUUUAUUUCUUUUGAGUGUAUAACUGGGAUGGUUGGAAGGUGCUAGAUCUAGGAAUUAUGUAUGUUUACCUUUAAUAUCAACUGCCAAGUGGUUUUCCAACUGGGUUAUACCAAUUUUUACUCCCACCAGCAACAACAAUUUGAAUUCCAGUUGCUUUGUAUUUUCAUGAACACUUGGUAUUGCUAGUCUUUAAUUUUAGUCAUUCUAUAGAAAAUGUUUUGUCAUGGCUUUAAUAUGAAUUUCUCUGACUAAUAAUGAUAAGCAACUGUUUAUAUAUGUAUUGGCCAGUUGGAUAGCCUCUAUUUGAAGUUCAGGUCUUUUGCCUUUUCAAUUUUGUUGUUUGUAUUAUUGGUUUAUAAGAGUUUUUAUACAUUACAGGUGAUAGUCCAUUGUGAAGUAUAUGUUUUGCCCAUAUCUUUUCCCUCUGUGUCUUGACUUUUCACUCUGUUGAUAGGUCUUAAUGUUUAUUUAGUUAACAGUGUCUCACUGUAUCGCACAGGAUGGAGUGCAGUGGCACAAUCAUAACUCACGGUAACCUUAAACUUUUGCCUCAGACUCCUGAGUGGCUGGAACUACAGACAUGCACCACCAUGCCUGGCAAGUUUUUUUAUUGUAGAGACAAGGUCUCUCUAUGUUACCCAGGCUGGUCUUCAAUUCCGGUCCUAAAAUGAUCCUCCCAACUCAGGCUCCCAAAGUGCUGGUAUUACAGAUAUGAGCCACCAUCCCUGGCCCAUAGUUCUUAAUUUUAAAGAAGCCAAAAUUAAUAUAUCCUUUCUUUUAUGAUUAUUGAUCUUUAUGUCCUGUCUAAUAAUAUUUGCUUCUGGCAAGGCUUCUGAAGAUGUUUUCCUAUUCUUUCUUCUAGAAAUUUUAUCAUUUUAUGUUUUAUAUUUGGUCUUAAUUUUUAUGGUGCAAGAUAGGAGGGUCACUUUCAUUUUUCCUAUAUCAACAUCCAAUCGACAUUUAUUAAGAAGGACAUCCUUCCCCAGUGACUUGUAAUGGCAUCUUUGUAAUAAGUUGUGUGAUGGUAUUUAUGUAGAAGUAUUCCUAUGUUUCAUUGUUCUUUUUCUUUCACUGAUACCACAUAAUAUUUAUAGUACUGUAGCUUUAAACUAGAUCUUGAACUUUGAUCUUCAACAUUUUUUUUCACAAUUCUAGGUCUUUUGUAUUUCCAUGUAAA